GUUUUAAUCCGUCUUAAUCCACAGCUCUUCUCUCAUCAGUCGAUAUCCUUCAGUCUGCUUUACCACUGACGCAGCGUGCAGAAGGGAGAUUCCUAUGUGCCGCUUGUUGCAUUUGGUGAUCAGAGAUGAACGACAGAUAUAGCAGUAAUCUACGAAUAUCGUAGUAAAUGGGAAUAAAGCAAAGGAUGCAACUUUAAAUGAAGACGGAUCACAUCGUCAGAAGGUGGAUGGAAUUUUUAAAUAACAACUCAUUCGAAGGCACCUGAAGUCGAAGGACUUAAGGGGUGGAGAGAAACGAGAGCAACGAACUCUAGCGAAAUAUGCAGAUGUUGUUUUGGUCGGCGGGAAGAAAAGCGUUAAAAAAGAAAAAUAAAUUAUCUAAAAAUCAACGGCGUACAUCUCUGGCAUCCAGUAAACAACAGAUCCGACUGAUGUCUUGAAUGCGGAAUCUUACAGCGAAUACGUGCUUGGGCGCAAAUCUUUAUAAUGAUGGCCACAUUCCAAAGAGCAUUCCGACGAAGUGUUCAACAAAGACUUUACAGUUCGGUAGCAUCCAACAGAUCGCUGUAGAGAUGCAGGAAAUACGUCCGGUAGUGUGUCCGGUAAUGAUAUUGUCAUAUAAAAGUGAAAAAAAUAUAAAGACGCCUGAAACCUCGAAGGUCACAGUUCCUUACCCGGAUGAAAUAAAUCUCGUUCUUCCUUUCUGUGUGGUGCUUUACGAGACGUCGGUGGUGUGCUGGAGCAGGUGCUGAAGGUGAAGAUGUUAUCUUUAAAUUGCUCUUGUCUGUGCUGCUGAGUGGAGAUCAGCUCUUGAGGAUGGAUGUCUGAGGGCAUCACCUUCAGCUACGAAACUUCCUGACAUCCAAAAAAACAGCAAGUUACAGUUCCUCUUUCUAUGAAGGAGAAAAGAAUGAGCUGGCAGCUGAAAUCCCAGUUUGAGCCCAAACGAGUAGCUUAAUGCUGAUGCUGAGAAAGAUGGCAUGUGUCUUGAAGGACUGACAGCAGCAGAAGGUAAAAGGAAAAUGUUUUGACGGGUGUAUAGUUACGAUCAGUCCGUAGGAGGUAUUUGGGGAUGCCAUUUGACACAGGGUGCUUUUCUGCUUCCAUAUAUAUCGUCUUUGCUCAUUUUACCACGAGCGCCAAUAAUAGCGAAGGCCACUGUGAUGGUUUCAAGGCAAGUGCAGAUUUAAAGAUAUUCACAUAUCAAUAAUGCUCAAUUUUUUCCACCGUGAUGUAUAUGGAUGAAAAAUAAAAACUUUAUUUAUUGAAAUUCAAAAAUCAGCCCAUUAGGCCUGGAGUUUGAGGAGCUCUUCGCUAACAGCUGACCUUCACUCGGCCCCUCGUUGAUUCUUAUUAAGUGAUUCGAAACCGCUGUUGACUGUUAUGGAUGGACAGACACUGAUGAAAAAUGGCCGAAUCCUAUUCGGCGGAUUCAUUAACACGUUUAAGAGCAGUAAAUUCUUUUAUGAGUGGCGGUUUGGCUGAAGCUCAGUCAAUCAAAUCUACAGCCAGUGUGUUGAGCCGUGAUUUAGAGGCGUAAUUCACGCUCUUAAUUGGGUUCAUUAAUCAUUCGGUUCUCAUGGGAGGGGGUGGGGGU